rnacentral:rRNA from 1 species
CCUACGGGAGGCAGCAGUAGGGAAUCUUUCACAAUGGGCGAAAGCCUGAUGGAGCAACGCCGCGUGCAGGAUGAAGGCCUUCGGGUUGUAAACUGCUUUUAUAAGCGAGAAAUAUGAUGGUAACUUAUGAAUAAGGCUCGGCUAACUACGUGCCAGUAGCCGCGGUCAUACGUAGGAUCCGAGCAUUAUCCGGGGUGACUGGGUGUAAAGAGUUGCGUAGGUGGCAUAAUAAGUAGCUAGUGAAAUCUGGUGGCUCAACCAUUCAGACUAUUAGCUAAACUGUUAAGCUCGAGACCGUUAGGGGUAACUGGAAUUUCUAGUGUAGGAGUGAAAUCCGUAGAUAUUAGAAGGAACACCAAUAGCGUAGGCAGGUUGCUGGGACGGUUCUGACACUAAGGCACGAAAGCGUAGGGAGCAAACGGGAUUAGAUACCCGGGUAGUC